rnacentral:misc_RNA from 1 species
UCUUCUUCCUCUUCCUCUUCCUCCAAUGGUGGUUAAUUCUCCCUUGUGUUUGUGCAAAUGAAAAUUGAGUGAAGAUGGAAACGAGUGCGAAGUGAUUUGCCAAUUUAUGGGGAUGGGGUUAAAGGGGCUGCUUAGCGAGUAAGCUAAUGGUAAUUACUGAUUACACUUGGCUUGAAAGCUGGACGGUGGAGCCGGGGCCUUGGUGGGAG